GUUAUAAAUAUGCGACGCAUGUUGCCAAUUUGAUCAUUGUGCACGCAAUACGUUCUUGAUAUCAGUUCUUUUUCACCAAAACAUAAAUACUUUCAACGGAUCAAUUUUGACAACAUCAUCGAGCAAACAAGUAAUCAUGACUAAAUUGGUAAUAUUACUCGCACUCGUUUGUUUACUCGGAAUGGGCGUUCAGUCGAUGAAUAUACCCGGCGCAGAAUUGUCUGCUCAACCCGAUCAACCUUUGACAUUGACUGGUCGUGGAUUCGGUUGCAAUGGUCCUUGGGACCAUAAUGAAUAUAAGUGCAAUUCGCACUGCAAAUCGAACAAG